rnacentral:rRNA from 1 species
GACGAACGCUGGCGGCGUGCCUAAUACAUGCAAGUAGAACGCUGAGGACUGGUGCUUGCACUGGUCUAAGGAGUUGCGAACGGGUGAGUAACGCGUAGGUAACCUACCUCAUAGCGGGGGAUAACUAUUGGAAACGGCUGGUAAUACCGCAUAAGACCACGGCACCGCAUGGUGCAGGGGUAAAAGAUUUAUCGGUGUGAGAUGGAUCCGCGUCUGAUUAGCCAGUUGGCGGGGUAACGGCCCACCAAAGCGACGAUCAGUAGCCGGCCUGAGAGGGUGAACGGCCACAUUGGGACUGAGACACGGCCCAA